rnacentral:rRNA from 1 species
GACGAACGCUGGCGGCGUGCUUAACACAUGCAAGUCGAACGAAGAGCGAUGGAAGCUUGCUUCUAUCAAUCUUAGUGGCGAACGGGUGGGUAACGCGUAAUCAACCUGCCCUUCAGAGGGGGACAACAGUUGGAAACGACUGCUAAUACCGCAUACGAUCUAAUCUCGGCAUCGAGGAUAGAUGAAAGGUGGCCUCUACAUGUAAGCUAUCACUGAAGGAGGGGAUUGCGUCUGAUUAGCUAGUUGGAGGGGUAACGGCCCACCAAGGCGAUGAUCAGUAGCCGGUCUGAGAGGAUGAACGGCCACAUUGGGACUGAGACACGGCCCAGACUCCUACGGGAGGCAGCAGUGGGGAAUCUUCCGCAAUGGACGAAAGUCUGACGGAGCAACGCCGCGUGAGUGAUGACGGCCUUCGGGUUGUAAAGCUCUGUUAAUCGGGACGAAAGGCCUUCUUGCGAACAGUUAGAAGGAUUGACGGUACCGGAAUAGAAAGCCACGGCUAACUACGUG